rnacentral:rRNA from 1 species
CUACGGGCCGCUGCAGUGGGGAAUAUUGCACAAUGGGCGCAAGCCUGAUGCAGCCAUGCCGCGUGUAUGAAGAAGGCCUUCGGGUUGUAAAGUACUUUCAGCGGGGAGGAAGGGAGUAAAGUUAAUACCUUUGCUCAUUGACGUUACCCGCAGAAGAAGCACCGGCUAACUCCGUGCCAGCAGCCGCGGUAAUACGGAGGGUGCAAGCGUUAUCGGAAUUACUGGGCGUAAAGCGCACGCAGGCGGUUUGUUAAGUCAGAUGUGAAAUCCCCGGGCUCAACCUGGGAACUGCAUCUGAUACUGGCAAGCUUGAGUCUCGUAGAGGGGGGUAGAAUUCCAGGUGUAGCGGUGAAAUGCGUAGAGAUCUGGAGGAAUACCGGUGGCGAAGGCGGCCCCCUGGACGAAGACUGACGCAGGUGCGAAAGCGUGGGGAGCAAACAGGAUUAGAUACCCCCGUAGUC